rnacentral:sRNA from 1 species
UAUCAUGGUAUCAGGCAAAUUCCUGUUGCCAUUCUGGCUCAGGGAUCGAAAUCCUUGCCCUUGUAUCAAUUCUUUUUCUUCUUUUCUGUGUGUAAUUUGACACAAAUGGAAUCAUUCACACAUCUUUAGCUGUUUCAAAAUCCUCGAAAACUAAAGAAAGGAAAAGAAAGAAAGAAAGAAAGAAAGAAAGAAAGAAAGAAACGUUGUUUCCCAUGAAGUCCUUUGUGCAGGUACAGGUUCGUGAGUCAUAUUAAGAUGUUCAUCCAUUCAUUACAUCUGGGCAUAACAAAAUAGUCCUCGUUGUUGACAUUAUCGGGACCCUCUCCCCUUGACCCCCUUUUGGCCCCUUUUCAUGUUGCUGAGUGGCCCUGGCGCUGAGUGGAGCAACAGCUGAAGAUACCAUGAAGUAUGGCAUCGAUAAUUAAUGCAAGUGAUAAGGGGCCGGCCCCCGCCCAUGCCGAUAUGUGCGUUGGGAACUUGGGAUUGGUGGCUGUUGUCAAUGAAAUGGCCGAAGAAAGGCACUUGGGCACUUGACGCGCAUGGGAAGGAAUGAACGGACAAUUCUGAGUGGUUGGCGGCAAGCCGAGGGUCACCUCUGUUGUCCUGAGGCUUUGGGAGCCCCAGCGGAGUGCAGGAUAUAAAACUGGGAAAGAUAUAGAGGGUUUGAUGAGGUUGGUGAGCUAUUCGAUCAUUCGACUAAACCCUGAAAGCCAUUCAUCAUACCAGCCAAAGUUCUCCUGCCCGCCUUAAAGCAGAUUUACUCCAUUCAGGAUGAACAGGAAUGCAUCCCUAAAUGAAACAACUGCCGAGAUCUACGUCAUGUCUAAGAAGGAGAACUGAGCAAAUUAAAACAGCAAUAGCAUGCAGAAACGACGGUUCCUUAUUCCUCUCCGAACACUUGGUGUAGUUAUAUUCUGACACGUCUACAGUUAUAUUAUCAUGCAGCCCGCCCGCCGCUAUCGAUCCUUUUCCCCUAUCUAAUUGGUAGUGGCAGCUCCAGAUGCAACGUAACUGGCUUAUCUCCAUCAUGCUGUACUGCCACUCAGGCAGUGGUUGGCUCACAGCAUAAAAUAACAUACGUACUGGCAGAUUGAGAGAACCAAGCGAUCGCCAAGGGAAAAUAAAAAUUACUCGUCCAUCCCGGCCAAUCAAUCACCACUUCCGUCAUCGUUCUUACCAUCAUCCAUCGUCACCGUCAUCGUCAUAUCAACCCCCUAUUCCGUAUAAAUUUCAUGCUUCAGGUAUAUAUAUAGGUCGGAUUUUAAAUCCAACCUAUAGCUCGACGCGGGCAACAUUCUUCGGAGAUAAAACAGGAUUCCAGACAAACCUCCCCAUUUGCUUUCUUACUUUCUGUAUCUCUCUGCUUUCUGCUUCCCUACCUAGACGUCCCGUUUAGAGAAUAAACUCGUAUCAUUCAAUGACUUUAUAUGACAAUAUUGCGAGCAAACAUAUCAGCGGGAAUUCACACCACCUUUUUUUUUUUUUUUUUUUUUUUUUUUUUUUUGGAUCGGGACGGGGGAAGGGCAUGAUAUAAUCUAGUACCCCCUGGAUACCAACUUCUGAUCCCUCCCCUCUUAUUUAUUCGCUUUCAUUUCAACUUUAUUGGUCCUCCGCCCAGCCAGAGUCACUAAAUGAAUUGAAAUGCGAUACUACCCCUGGGCUUGCGUUUGAAUUUUGCCUGGACAUUUCCUCCACCUCUUCGCCCUACCAACCCCCAUUAUUCGGUCCUCUCCUUUCACCUCCCAUAUUUCCCCAUCUAUUUCCUUACUCCUAUUCCUUCCAAUUCCGAGACGAGAAUAUGUAGGAUGCAGAUUGCAUGCAUGCAUGCACGUCAGGUCCCAAUUGAAAUAAUUCUGCCCGAGCUCACGGAUUGCCUGGAAGCCUAUCGAUAAGGGGGCUGCGCGUCUGUGCAUGGGAUAUUGCUAGGAGGCUGGUAUGCUUAAAUGGCCUUUCUGGAUGCAUGCAGUAGCUAUAGUUUAGAGGUUGCAUAUUCCGGUUAUCUUUAAGUGAGGAAAAUGGAGACGCUUGGAUUCGACGAGCGUCUCUCAGUUUUCGUCUAAUUAUGUUAUAUUAUAUUUUCUUUAUUUUUUUAUUUUUAUUUUUUUUUUAACCUCCCCCUCCCCCCUCUCUUUCACAAAUGGACAUAUGAUUAAUAUAAAGUCAC